AACGAACGCUGGCGGCAUGCCUAACACAUGCAAGUCGAACGAGACCUUCGGGUCUAGUGGCGCACGGGUGCGUAACGCGUGGGAACCUGCCCUUAGGUUCGGAAUAACUCCCCGAAAGGGGUGCUAAUACCGGAUAAUGUCUUCGGACCAAAGAUUUAUCGCCUUUGGAUGGGCCCGCGUUGGAUUAGCUAGUUGGUAGGGUAAAAGCCUACCAAGGCGACGAUCCAUAGCCGGUCUGAGAGGAUGAUCAGCCACACUGGGACUGAGACACGGCCCAGACUCCUACGAGAGGCAGCAGUGGGGAAUAUUGGACAAUGGGCGAAAGCCUGAUCCAGCAAUGCCGCGUGAGUGAUGAAGGCCUUAGGGUUGUAAAGCUCUUUUACCCGGGAUGAUAAUGACAGUACCGGGAGAAUAAGCUCCGGCUAACUCCGUG
rnacentral:rRNA from 1 species